rnacentral:rRNA from 1 species
GUUAGGAAUAUUGGACAAUGGGCGAAAGCCUGAUCCAGCCAUGCCGCGUGAACGAUGAAGGCCUUCGGGUUGUAAAGUUCUUUAGCCGAUGAUUAUAAUGACUGUAGUCGGAAAAUAAGCUCCGGCUAACUUCGUGCCAGCAGCCGCGGUAAUACGAAGGGGGCGAGCGUUAUUCGGAAUCACUGGGCGUAAAGCGUGCGUAGGCGGUUUUGUAAGUUAGGAGUGAAAGCCCAGGGCUCAACCUUGGAAUUGCUCUUAAAACUGCAAGGCUCGAAUCUCGGAGAGGAUAGCGGAAUUUCCAGUGUAGCAGUGAAAUGCGUAGAUAUUGGAAGGAACACCAGUGGCGUACGCGGCUAUCUGGACGAGUAUUGACGCUGAGGCACGAAAGCGUGGGGAUCAAACAGGAUUAGAAACCCGAGUAGUCC